rnacentral:lncRNA from 1 species
CUGAGAUGACACCUCAGGCUGCAGCUAAGGAGUUAGAAGAAGUAAUGAAGCGAGUGCGGGAGGCUCAGUCAUUUAUCUCAGCAGCCAUUGAACCAGGGUGGCUGCACUCAACGAGUUUAUGCAAUGACUUUCUUGGAUGUUUCUGAAGGAUAAUUGCACAGGAGGAGGAUGUACAGAGAGUAGGCCCCUUGCACUAUAUGUGGUAUAUUCCACUUGUGCCUAAUUAUUAACUGGGAUCUUUAAUUGUUCUGAGCUUACGCUGCAAAGUGGUUUUUUCCUCCCAGAGUCUGGAAAGAGCAAUGAAAGGAAAGGCGGUCGAUCUCGUUCUCACACUCGCUCAAAGUCCAGGUCUAGCUCAAAGUCCCAUUCUAGAAGGAAGAGAUCGCAGUCAAAGCACAGGAGUAGAUCCCAUAACAGGUCACGUUCAAGACAGAAAGAUAGACGUAGAUCCAAGAGCCCACAUAAGAAACGCUCUAAGUCUAGGGAGAGGCGGAAGUCAAGGAGCCGGUCGCGGUCACGGGACAAGAGAAAAGAUACCCGGGAAAAGGUGAAGGAAAGAGUGAAGGAGAGAGAAAGGGAAAAGGAA